rnacentral:rRNA from 1 species
AACUAACGCUGGCGGCGUGCCUAACACAUGCAAGUCGAACGGUAACAGGUCUUCGGAUGCUGACGAGUGGCGAACGGGUGAGUAAUACAUCGGAACGUGCCCGAUCGUGGGGGAUAACGCAGCGAAAGCUGUGCUAAUACCGCAUACGAUCUACGGAUGAAAGCGGGGGAUCGCAAGACCUCGCGCGGACGGAGCGGCCGAUGGCAGAUUAGGUAGUUGGUGGGAUAAAAGCUUACCAAGCCGACGAUCUGUAGCUGGUCUGAGAGGACGACCAGCCACACUGGGACUGAGACACGGCCCAGACUCCUACGGGAGGCAGCAGUGGGGAAUUUUGGACAAUGGGCGCAAGCCUGAUCCAGCCAUGCCGCGUGCAGGAUGAAGGCCUUCGGGUUGUAACUGCUUUUAUACAGGAAGAAACACUGGUUCGUGAACCAGCUUGACGGUACUGUAAGAAUAAGGAUCGGCUAACUCCGUGCCAGCAGCCGAC